rnacentral:rRNA from 1 species
GAUGAACGCUAGCUACAGGCUUAACACAUGCAAGUCGAGGGGUAACGAGAGGAAAGCUUGCUUUCCUUGUCGACGACCGGCGCACGGGUGAGUAACGCGUAUCCAACCUGCCCCCAACUAGGGAAUAACCUUGCGAAAGUAAGACUAAUACCCUAUAAUUUCCUCAGAUGUCAUCUGGCGAGGAAUAAAGAUUUAUCGGUUGUGGAUGGGGAUGCGUCUGAUUAGCUUGUUGGCGGGGUAACGGCCCACCAAGGCAACGAUCAGUAGGGGUUCUGAGAGGAAGGUGCCCCACAUUGGAACUGAGACACGGUCCAAACUCCUACGGGAGGCAGCAGUGAGGAAUAUUGGUCAAUGGGCGGAAGCCUGAACCAGCCAAGUAGCGUGCAGGAUGACGGCCCUAUGGGUUGUAAACUGCUUUUAUACAGGAAUAAAGUUAGCCACGUGUGGUUAUUUGCAGGUACUGUAUGAAUAAGGACCGGCUAAUUCCGUGCCAGCCGCCGCCGUAA